GGAAAAGAAACCAACAGGGAUUGCUUCAGUAACGGCGAGUGAAGCGGCAACAGCUCAAAUUUGAAAUCUGACUCCUUGAGAGUCCGAGUUGUAAUUUGUAGAGGAUGUUUCGGGUUCCCGCUCCGGUUUAAAUUUCUUGGAACAGAAUGUCAAAGAGGGUGAGAAUCCCGUCUUGGACUGGCGGUCAGGGCCCAUGUGAAACUCCUUCGACGAGUCGAGUUGUUUGGGAAUGCAGCUCAAAAUGGGUGGUAAAUUUCAUCUAAAGCUAAAUAUUGGCCAGAGACCGAUAGCGCACAAGUAGAGUGAUCGAAAGAUGAAAAGCACUUUGAAAAGAGAGUCAAAAAGUAUGUGAAAUUGUUGAAAGGGAAGCGCUGGCAACCAGACUUGCGCGCGACGGUUCCCCCUUCCUUCUGGUUGGGUUACUCCGUCGUGUCCAGGCCAACAUCGGUUCUGGGGGUCGGUUAAAGGCCGUGGGAAUGUAUUUACCCUUUCGAGGCGUAGACUUAUAGCCCAAGGUGUCAUGCGGCCUCCUGGGACCGAGGAACGCGCUUCGGCUCGGAUGUUGGCGUAAUGGUUGUCAGCGACCCGUCUUGAAACACGGACCA
rnacentral:rRNA from 1 species